UUGGCCAGAGAUUGGCGACCUUCAAUUUCACCUUAAGCUGUGCCACAUCUCCUCCAUUUUUCUUGAAGAACAGGCAGGUUCUCAACAAAUAUCCAACCUCUGAAGAUGAGAAGGGCCUUGGGAAUAGCUAUCAGCAAAAUUUUCACGGAGACACCAGGCAGAGAAGAAAUCUUGUUGCAUCUGUCUUGUCGGUGAAUACUUCUAGGUCACAGGGAAAUCUAAAGUCCUAUAAACGUCUUUACUCAGAAUUCACACCUUUGCCCCCCAAUUUACUAAAAUGCCCUUGUCAUUUAAUGAGUACCCAUAACCACUCAUGAUUUAGGUCCAUGCCCCAAGAAGCCAGCAACAGUCCCCACCUCAGCUGAUGGGUUUUGGGCUUUGGAGACAGCUUAGCCUUAGACCAGCUUCCCUGAGGCUGCUGGAAGGACAUGCCCUUUAGGAGGCCCCAGUCACCUACUGGGAGGAAAGCCCAUAACUCAAGGCUUCGCAAUGUGAUUUGGUUUAGGAGCCCAAGUCACUCACAGAACAAAACAAGAAAUCAACCUAUACUCAUUCAUUCGAGUCACCUGUGGUUCACAGAAGUCCCCCGUCAGUCCUGAUGGCCCUUCCCCCAGGAGAGGGCAGGUAGACAAGAUUUUGAACUUUCCACAGCUGGGUCUCCAUUCUUCCAGGGAGAUGAUCUGGAGCAGAGAAUUAGGGUGACAGUCAAUCUACAUAAAUGAGGGACUGGGGCACUGUAGACCAUGCUUGCUAAAGCAUCCUCCCACAGUAGGAUUAGGGGCUUUAUCCAAUUGCCUAUAACAAAACAGAUCAGUGCCUCUUUCCUAGACAAGGCUGAAAGGGGUCAACACUAUUUCUGAAGACCUCAUUAGAACUAUUUUGAUUAAAGUGAUCUCACUGAGCUAUUUUGGAAUCAAAAUGUGGCUAGGUGCCUGGCCUCCCUCAAUAGCUUCACGUGGCUUUCACAGGGGAGGGGGGGUGCUGACUUUUGCUAAAAUGGGUGAAAGGGUCCAAGCCAGCCAACAUAAUCACUCAAAGUCCAGAGGAGAGAUCAGUAAAUACAACGUGCCUGAAAGGCAGGCCUUGAGCACAUUCCUCUGGUAGGCAUUAACUUAUUAAAUCAACCCUGAUUGCAAAAAUAAACUUUGCCCCCACCUCACCUGGCAACCAUAAAAGAGGCAGAUUUCAGUCUAUAAAACGAAGUGGGAACUGCCCCUGGCUUUUAGGCGCCAACCCCGUGUCAGGAUGUGGCACCUCAAACUUUUUGCAGUGCUCGUGAUCUGCCUGUUACUGUUGGGCCAGGUAAGGAUACGAAUGUGGAUGUGUGGGGAUGGCGCUGCUGUAAGCAGAGCCCGAGAGCCAGCCUCGGACCUGAGGGAUGGUUCUUCUGCUCUGUCUACAGCAUCCUGGGAAUGACCAUUCCUCCAAGAUGUGCAGCAGGCUGUCAGCUCUUCCACACCUGAGGUGACUUUGUCUUUGCCCUACAGGUAGAUGGCUCCCCAAUAUCGGAACUGAGUUCAGCAAAGAGAAGGCUGCGGAGAAUGACCCCAUUUUGGAGAGGGGUUUCCCUCAGGCCCAUUGGAGCCUCCUGCCGGGAUGACUCUGAGUGCAUCACCAGGCUCUGCAGAAAGAGACGCUGUUCCCUAAGUGUGGCCCAGGAAUGAUGUACAUACCAGGGAAAAAGAGGACAGCACUCAGCUACAACAAUGCUCCGUUCUAUGGAAUAUUGAUGAACUGUGUAUUGGUUGGAGACUUAAGUGAAGCAAUCUUGUGUUUUUAAUAUUUAAAAACAGAUGUAUGCUUUAAAUUGGACUCCGUUUCUUCUUAGAAUGUUAUUUAGAUGAGCAUAACUAAACUUGUCAAAUUAGAGUUUAUUUUUCUAUGUAUACUAUUAAA